rnacentral:rRNA from 1 species
UGGGGAAUCUUGCGCAAUGGGCGAAAGCCUGACGCAGCAACGCCGCGUGCGGGAAGAAGGCCCUAGGGUUGUAAACCGCUUUCAGUAGGAACGAAAAUGACGGUACCUGCAGAAGAAGGUGCGGCCAACUACGUGCCAGCAGCCGCGGUGACACGUAGGCACCAAGCGUUGUCCGGAUUUAUUGGGCGUAAAGAGCUCGUAGGCGGUUGAGUAAGUCGGGUGUGAAAACUCUGGGCUUAACCCAGAGCCGCCACUCGAUACUGCUCUGACUUGAGUUCGGUAGGGGAGCAGGGAAUUCCUAGUGUAGCGGUGAAAUGCGCAGAUAUUAGGAGGAACACCGGUGGCGAAGGCGCUGCUCUGGGCCGAAACUGACGCUGAGGAGCGAAAGCGUGGGUAGCAAACAG